GUCGAGCGAAUGGAUUAAGAGCUUGCUCUUAUGAAGUUAGCGGCGGACGGGUGAGUAACACGUGGGUAACCUACCCAUAAGACUGGGAUAACUCCGGGAAACCGGGGCUAAUACCGGAUAAUAUUUUGAACUGCAUAGUUCGAAAUUGAAAGGCGGCUUCGGCUGUCACUUAUGGAUGGACCCGCGUCGCAUUAGCUAGUUGGUGAGGUAACGGCUCACCAAGGCGACGAUGCGUAGCCGACCUGAGAGGGUGAUCGGCCACACUGGGACUGAGACACGGCCCAGACUCCUACGGGAGGCAGCAGUAGGGAAUCUUCCGCAAUGGACGAAAGUCUGACGGAGCAACGCCGCGUGAGUGAUGAAGGCUUUCGGGUCGUAAAACUCUGUUGUUAGGGAAGAACAAGUGCUAGUUGAAUAAGCUGGCACCUUGACGGUACCUAACCAGAAAGCCACGGCUAACUACGUGCCAGCAGCCGCGGUAAUACGUAGGUGGCAAGCGUUAUCCGGAAUUAUUGGGCGUAAAGCGCGCGCAGGUGGUUUCUUAAGUCUGAUGUGAAAGCCCACGGCUCAACCGUGGAGGGUCAUUGGAAACUGGGAGACUUGAGUGCAGAAGAGGAAAGUGGAAUUCCAUGUGUAGCGGUGAAAUGCGUAGAGAUAUGGAGGAACACCAGUGGCGAAGGCGACUUUCUGGUCUGUA
rnacentral:rRNA from 2 species